UAAAAUUCUAAUAAUCUAGUAGAAUCUGAAAAAUAGUCGUCCAAUAUCUCUAGAAUUUGACUAAAAAUAGAACUCUAAUAAAAUAUGAAAAAACACGAAAAAUGAAAAAUUCUACCCGAUUUAAUACUAUGCGACCGCAUAGUGUAAACCUAUGCGAUCACAUAGUUCAAUUGAACUAUGUCCACAUAGUCCCUGCCCCUAUGCAUGCAGUCGCAUGCCUAUUAUAGCUAUGCGGCCACAUAGCUAUCUCUUUUGCCCCCGACUUCGUCCGUUUUUAUCGAGUUGAUCCACUUUGAUUCGACUCUCGACCCGAACAUGAAAGUUGUCCCAUUUUGCGUCCAGAACAUUGUCCCAUCAAUGGUUUCUCGAACGAGCAACCCAUCGCUUGUUUCACUUGCUUUGCUCUCGAUCGCGUCAUCGGUCCGCCUUCGAUAAUCAACGGAUCUCGACUCAAACUCGUCGUCUUCAAACUUGAUUCUUGGAUCACAUAAUCCUCUCCCUCUUCAAAAGGAUUCGUUCUCGAAUUUGCAUCUGCAUCAAAAAGGGAAAGAUCAGCAACGUUAAAUGUAGUCAGUACAUUAUACUCACCUGGCAAGUCCACUUUGUAGGCAUUAUCGUUGAUCUUCUCGGUGACUUGGAAAGGACCAUCUCUCCGCGAUUUCAAUUUGGACUUUCGCUGCUUUGGAAAACGUUCCUUCUGUAAAUGUACCCACACCCAAUCUCCGGGUUCAAAUGUCACACGCUUCCGCUCUUUGUUUGCUGUUGAUGCGAUGAGCUUGCUCUUCUCUUCAAUUUGCGUAUGGACCUUCUCAUGAAGUGCCUUCACCAUCUCAGCUUUCCUCUUAUCAUCCAUGCUACAUCGUUCAUUCACAGGUAAAGGAGAUAAAUCCAAUGGAGUUAGUGGAUUAAAUCUAGACACAAUUUCAAACGGUGAAUAAGACGUAGUCGAAUGCACAGCACGAUUAUAAGCAAACUCAAUAAAUGACAAGCAAUCUUCCCAAUUUCUUAAGUUCUUAUUAAUCACUGUUCGAAGCGAUUGAGUCAUGGUCCUAUUUACUACUUCAGUUUGACCAUCUAUUUGUGGGAGACAAGUUGUAAAAAAUAACAAUUUAGUUCCUAACUUAUUCCACAAAACACGCCAAAAAUGACUCAAAAAUUUAACAUCAUGGUCCGACACAAUACUUUUAGGGAUUCCAUGCAAACGUACUAUCUCCCU
rnacentral:lncRNA from 1 species